rnacentral:rRNA from 1 species
GAUGAACGCUGGCGGCGUGCCUAAUACAUGCAAGUCGAGCGAACAGACGAGGAGCUUGCUCCCCUGACGUUAGCGGCGGACGGGUGAGUAACACGUGGAUAACCUACCUAUAAGACUGGGAUAACUUCGGGAAACCGGUGCUAAUACCGGAUAAUAUAUUGAACCGCAUGGUUCAAUAGUGAAAGAGGGUUUUGCUGUCACUAAUAGAUGGAUCCGCGCCGCAUUAGCUAGUUGGUAAGGUAACGGCUUACCAAGGCAACGAUGCGUAGCCGAGCUGAGAGGGUGAUCGGCCACACUGGAACUGAGACACGGUCCAGACUCCUACGGGAGGCAGCAGUAGGGAAUCUCCCGCAAUGGGCGAAAGCCUGACGGAGCAACGCCGCGUGAGUGAUGAAGGUCUUCGGGUCGUAAAGCUCUGUUGUUGGGGAAGAACAGAUGUGUGUGUAACUAUGCACGUCUUGACGGUACCUAAUCAGAAAGCCACGGCUAACUACGUG